rnacentral:rRNA from 1 species
CCUACGGGGGACAGCAGUGGGGAAUAUUGGACAAUGGAGGGAACCCUGAUCCAGCGACGCCGCGUGAGUGAAGAAGUAUUUCGGUUUGUAAAGCUCUGUCAUCAGGGAUGAACACAAUGACGGUACCUGACUAAGAAGCCACGGCUAACUACGUGCCAGCAGCCGCGGUAAUACGUAGGGGGCAAGCGUUAUCCGGAUUUACUGGGUGUAAAGGGUGCGUAGGUGGUUACGUAAGUCGGGAGUGAAAGGCCGGGGCUCAACCCCCGCACUACCGUGGAAACUGUAUGACUGGAGUGCAGGAGAGGUAAGUGGAAUUCCUAGUGUAGCGGUGGAAUGCGUAGAUAUUAGGAGGAACACCAGGGGCGAAGGCGACUUACUGGACUGUAACUGACGUUGAGGCACGAAAGCGUGGGGAGCAAACAGGAUUAGAUACCCGAGUAGUC